UUUCUCCUCUAGUUAGAAUAGGCAGUUUAUUUUCUUGGGGAAAUCAAAACUUCUGUCUGCCCCCAUCCUUUCCCUAGUGUUUCCUGAAAUGUUUAACAGCAUCCUCUUUGCCUUUUUCCCAGAGACUGAGUUCCUCUUUGUGGUCAAGGUUCCUCUUCCCUCCUCCUUAGUCACUGAGAAACAAGGACCAUGUUAAUACAUCUUUGCAGGGAAAACAGAUGAUCCUGGUGGCCAAAAUACACCAUUUCUUCUGGUUUGAUGCUUUGCAGGUGCUCUGUGUGCACCCUCACUGCAUCCAGCGGGGUGACCAUGCUCCACAUCUCCCAGGGUCACUUUUCCCUCCAAAGGAAAGGCCUCUCAGGAGCAGCAGAUAGAAAACUAGCCCUGGGAACUCUGCAUUUUUUGGAGGAAACCUGCACAAUAUGCUUUUCAAGCCUGCUGUUCCAGAAGAGCAACUCAACACGUGCUGAACUUUGAUCCCCUGUCAAGGAAUAAAGCUGAACCGAGGGGGAAAGGAGCAUUUAUUCCCAGUGGAUAAGGAGAGAAAGGCUGAAAUGAAGGAUUUU